CGCUGGAGAACUGAGGGGGGCUGCUCCUAGUACGAGAGGACCGGAGUGGACGCAUCACUGGUGUUCGGGUUGUCAUGCCAAUGGCACUGCCCGGUAGCUAAAUGCGGAAGAGAUAAGUGCUGAAAGCAUCUAAGCACGAAACUUGCCCCGAGAUGAGUUCUCCCUGAGACUUAGAGUCUCCUGAAGGAACGUUGAAGACGACGACGUUGAUAGGCCGGGUGUGUAAGCGCAGCGAUGCGUUGAGCUAACCGGUACUAAUGAACCGUGAGGCUUAACCUUACAACGCCGAAG
rnacentral:rRNA from 3 species